CCGGUCAUACUCCUAGUGGCGUAGCAGCAGAAACAACGAUGCCAGAGCAUUGUGCAGCAUAUUCCUGCUCAAAUCGGCGGACCAUCGAAAGCAGGGCUCGUGGGAUUACUUUUCACAAGUUUCCCAAGGACAAAGAUAUGAGGAAGAAGUGGGAAGUAGCUUUGAGGAGAGAAGGAUUCACUGCAAGUGUGUCAACAGUGCUUUGCUGUCAACAUUUUAAGCAGGGAGAUUUUGAUAGGUCGAGUCAGAUUGUCCGACUCCGAGAUGGUGUUAUUCCAUCCGUCUUCAGCUUCCCAGUUCACCUCCAAAGAUGCAGGGCUACGUCUACCUCCAGAAGAGCUGAAGAAAGCCUGUCCGUGGCCUCUCAGGAUUCCCAAGAAACGGCAACCUCAGACCCACAACCUCAGCCUAAUGAUGAUCAUGGCUAUGCCCUGCCUGCGUCUCCUACCGCUCUUAAGACCAGACUCAAUGAAGCCUUGGCAAGAGUGGAAAGAGUGGAAAGAGUGGAGCGAGAGAAGAAGAAUGCCAUGGCAAGAGAAAAUAGGGCAAAGUCCACAGUCUUUUGGGGGAGUUGAGGGAAAAUAACCUCAUUAAUGAAGAGCUCAAAGAAAAGCUUGAAUUCUACUCCGAUCUUCAGAUAGACCUCAUGGCAAAGCAGGGCCAUGAGUACACAAAGGACUACAAAGAGUUUGCGCUCACGCUCCAUCUACAUGGUCCAAAGGCAUACAAAUACCUCAGAGAGACUCAACAUUUUCCCCUCCCACAUCCACAUACAUUACAAAGGUGGCAGCGUUCGGUGGAUGACAAGCCUGGCCUGAACAAGAUGAUGCUGGAUAUGCUGGAGAGAAGAUGCCAGGGCUAAAUAUGGAUGUGUUUCGCUCAUGUUGGAUGCCAUGUCCAUCAGAAAACAUGUGCAGUAUAAUCCACAUACCCAGUCGAUGUCUGGUUUUGUAGACAUGGGUGAUGGAAUCAGUGAGACUGAUGUUGCUACUGAGGCUCUUGUGUUCAUGGUGGUUGGCCUACAGGGACAUUGGAAGGCUCCCAUUGCUUACUUCCUGACCAAGUCUCUCUCUCCAGAAACACAAAGGGUCCUUCUCAUUCACUCUUUGGAGGAGUUGCAUGCACGGGGCAUCCGGGUGGUAUGUGUAACAAUGGAUGGGCAUGCCUCCAAUGUCAGCAUGUGCAACCAACUUGGGUGUGAGCUGAAGGGAGACCCACAAGAGGUGCUUCAAACCAGUUUCUCGCAUCCAGUGACUGGUGAGAAUGUAUUUGUAAUGAUGGACGCUUGUCACAUGCUCAAGUUGGCACGUAAUAUGUUGCAGGCAUACAGUCCAAUUGCAUCGACCACUGGACAUAUCAGUUGGAGGUACAUCAAUCAUCUCAAUGAUGUGCAAAAAAAGAUGGACUGCAUGCUGCCAAUAAAAUUACAGACAAACAUGUCUACUUUGAGAACCACAAGAUGAGGGUGUCCCUGGCUGCACAGACACUGAGUCGAUCCGUGUCAGUGGCUCUCCGCACAAUGAGGGAUCUUGGGUACUCUCAGUUUAAGGACUGUGAGGCAAUGGCAGAAUUCAUUGAGGUAAUACAAUUAGUGAUUAUAGAAUCAAGUACAUGUUUUUAUUUUUAUAAUUCAUCGGAGUGGUAAAGCUCUGUGAAAUGAGCUGUAUUACAAAGCAUACCUAUGGAAAGAAGCAAGUCAAGCAAAUACUAAUACUUGCAUGUUUACUCGUUGAGCAUACAGUUUAGAAAUAUGCACUGUGUUCUUUGUAUAUUUUGAAUAGAUGAGUAUUGAUUUCCACUAACUUAUACCUAAUGAAACCCUGUAAUGAUAGUGAUUUUAGAUGCUGAUAUUUCUUUAUAGAUUAUUGACAGGCUGUUUGAUACCAUGAAUGGACGCAAUCCUCGUGCCAAAGGAUUCAAAGCUCCCUUGGGUGCCUUGAAUUGGAGAGGAAAGCAUUUUUGUCAAGAGCCAGGGAGUACUUGCUCACUUUGGUGACAAAAGAUGAAACACCCCUUCACCGAUCUAAGAGGUCUAUUAAAAUAGUGCUUGUUAAGUUCAUGGCAUGGGUUCGACACUCUGUUCCCCCUAUGCAUCGAGUUCCUAAGAUGCUCCGUUGUUCUGUUAUGCAUCGACUUCCUAAGAUGCUCCUAACUGCUUCAGUUGUGUUUGUCUGAAUUUUGUAUUCAGUGUUUUUCAGGUCCUAGAUGCUUCUAAAUGGUAUGUAUUACACAACAUCAACUUUAUGCAGGUGUCAGAAAGAUGGUAUGUAUGUUGAUAUGAUAUCUUGUUUAAAUGUUUUUCAAUAUGUAGUUUUGUUUCUGUUGGAAUUAUCUUGUAUUCAGUGUGUUUAUCAGGUCUAGAUGUUUCUAAAUGGUAUGUAUUACACAACAUCAAGUACAUGUCGGUGUCAAAAUGGUAGGUAUUGCAUGUGUUGUUUUCAAGUUAUCCCAGUUCUGCAAUUACAUUGUUCCAAUUUAAUGUUCCUUUGUCUACAAGUAUACAGUAUAAGUUAAACAAGAAACGGAUCCCAUUCCUAAAAACAUGGAUGCAAACUAAUUAUCUAUCUGGUAGCUGUUUACCAUUUUCAUUCUCUGAGUUUGCACCCCUGUGAUAGGCACUCAAGACUGGGUGAUUACACAUUACUGAUGGAUGUGAUGGAACAUUCACUUUACUGCUUUGAAUUAACAAAAUCACAUGGGGCUUUCUUUGGGUGUUCUUUUUCUCGCCAUGAUCAGAGUAAUACAACUUUUUUCUUUUGCAGGCACUUGUCGGUCAUCGGAUUUUUCAUCAAUAUCGACAUGUUGAUGCUGAUGAUUCCUGAACUGCUCAAAGUUCAGCGGUAUGUGCUCACCUACAGGUUAAGCCAAGAUCACUUGGAGCUCCUAUUUAAUUCCAUCAGAGCGGGCUAGUGAUUCCAUCACAAGGCACAGUGAAGGUGCUGAGAGCUGCAGAGAGGGUGAUCCGCCAAGCUU